rnacentral:lncRNA from 1 species
CCUCAUGCUGACUGUCCCUGAGUGUUUCCAUUUUGUCUUUGCCGAUGGCAGGUGCCUGCUGUCUUCUUCUGAUCACCAGCCAGGUUCAGGGGGAGGGGAAUCCAUAUCCAUCCGGUUCAUUCCUUUCCCUGAACACACUCCUGCAUCUCAGGAAUCAGAUAACAGCAGGUGCUGUGACAUUAUGGCAAACAUUCUUGUCCUGGAGGAGUGGAUGUGUCACCUACUGAAUCUGCGUCUCGAACAUUUCAUCAAUCACCCAUUGAUUGUGCCUCCUCUGGAUCCCAGGCUCAGCUUUCGGCUAUAUAUUGACAGAGAAUACAAAGAUGAUCCAUGAUUGUUUCAUGUCAGGAUUGCUGAUUAGACCUACAAUGACUGCUGCUCCAAAUUAAGUCCCACCCACAGAUUCCAGAGAUUAAGAGGUAGACAUAUUUUGGAGGGGAAAGGGCAUCAGAAUUUGGCCCAGUAUAUUCACUGAAUUCUUCUUUCUCUUAAUUAUAUAUACGGGUAUAUAAAACAUGGUAUAUAACAGUGUUUCUCAAAAAUGCAUAUGAUUUAAAAUCCACAGAGAUCUUUCAGCAACUUAUUUACUACUAUAUAGGAAAUAAACAUAAAAAGCGCAUGCCCA